GUUGAACUGAAGCAGGUUUAGUGGAUUGACUGCACUGCGAAUCUUCAAUGCUUUGAUUUGAGAUCUGGCACAAGACGGCUCGUUGCUGAAUUCCACUUCCACAUAAGGCCGAACACUGUAGGAUUGGCAGAGAUUUGUUUAAAAUCACAAGAAGAUUGUGUGGAAUACAAAAAUAGAAACAGAUGAAGGUCUGAGGCACUGAUAUGAGGUGAAUAGCAUGAAUCACAGGAGUCAUGAGGUUUUAUGCAACAAAUGGUUUAGUAUCACCAGGUAUUACUAGAAGCAAGGUUACCUGGGUGGUAGGCAUCUUUAUGACUCAUCUUCAUGCGCCUGAUUCAUGAAUGAAAAGAGUUGGCCUCUGGUAGCAUUUUAUGAUGAACAAAACAAAGCUCCUUAGGCUUUGUGGUGAUGUAACGGGAUAUAGAAGCAGAAAGUCUUGAGCUUGGAGACAGCAAUUGGGAACAAACUCUCAACUGUAAUGAUGCAAGGAAGCUUGCAGAUACGGCAUACCUUGCCAAAUAAAACGUUGUUUGAUCUGCCAGCCUGACUCAGGAACAAAUCAAUAGAGGCCAACAGCUGAAAUUCAAUAACAACAGAGCAUUGACCAUCAGAAGCCUUGCCAGGGCAAGCAUUAGUUACACAGCGUGAGGUAAGUAAACACAAGGCGAGGCACCACACGCUGGCAAGGAAGGUGUAGGAGUGAUUGUUAGUUGGAGUUAACUGCUAUUAGGGCAAAGAUCCAAAAGGCUAGAGCCAUGGAUCUGAGGCGAUCUGACAAAUAAGAUCCAAAACUGAAACAGUAAUAAGAGACAGAGAGAUACUAUGAAUUGCAGGUAGUAUUUUGAACCAAAAGGAUCUUCAUGUAGAAGUCCAAGGAUCUCUAGCCGGCAGUCCAGGUACUUAGGGUGGUGAAGAAGGCAAUUGGAAGAAGAAGUGAAGAAGGCUUGCCUUCACUGGCCAGAGUAGUGAGUCAUAGUAUGGCUUUAUAAAAUAUAGGUUAGGCUAUUACUGAAAUAAGGUUUUCAGUUUUGGUCCUAAUACUACAGGAAGGAUGCAAUUGUACUGGAGAGGGUGCAGAUAAGAUCAUCAGGAUUUUGCUUAUGAAGGAAUGCUUUAGUUAUAAAUAGAGACAAUUACAUGGAACAAAGCAGCUGAGAGGUAGACAAAAGUACGAAGGCAACUAGUUCCCAGAAGCAAAGAUGUCAUGAUCAAAGGAUGUAGGUUUAAGAUGAGGAUAAGUGAUUUAGAGGGGAUAAUAAUAUAAUUCUGAGGAUUUUUUUUUCAUUCUUUAGAUGAAUGCAGAAUGGUUUGCACUACAUGAGAACAUAGUGGAGGCAAAUACUGGAAUAGAGUCAUUGAACACAACAGCACAGAAACAAGCCCGUCAGCCCAUUUACUCUGUGCAAACUAUUAAUCUGUCCAGUUGCACUGAACUGCACCACUACCAUCCAUACCCUUCCUAUCCGUGUGUCUAUCCAAAUUUCUCUUAAGUGUCGAAAUCAAACCCACAUCCACCAGGAGCUCCGUCCACACUCUCAUCACCCUUUGAGUGAGCAAGUUCCCCCUCAUGACCCAAACUCAGUGGAAAAAGCCUACAUGUGUUUACCCUAUUUGUACCCCUUAUGAUUUAAUAUACCACUAUCAGAUCUCCCCCCUUUCUCCUAUGCUCUACUCUUACAACAUUUAAGAGGAAGGUGGAUAAAAAUGCGAAUUGCCAGGCCAUAGGCCAUAACUGGUAAAUGGAUCACUAUAGAUAGGUUCUUAAUGAUCAGCUGAAGGAUUUGUUUCGGUGUUGUGGAACUCUAUGAUUAUUACUGAAUUCUUAUAAUUAAGCGGCUUCUAAAGAGCAUCAGGGGUUGUAAUCCAAGAAUCAAUGUUCAAUGGAAGGACUAUUAGGGCUUUUUGUUUUGGAAUUAUGUGGCGGGAAUAGUGUUGGACAACUAAACGUAGGAGGAGGGUGUGGAAUGGCAGAUGCAAAGACCACACAAUAUUUUGGCUUUAGUGAUGAAGAACUAACCUGAACUAGCCAAACCCAGCAAUGAAGGACAUUAUAUCUACUGAUUUCGGUUGGGUUUAGCAUGAUCCUCUCCUUUUAAAUGUAACCUGUAAUAUUUAUUUAGGAACUUCAAUAUUUUAUGAUUCUCAAACAAAUACCUAUUCUUUGGUCAAUUCUAAGAUAAAAUGAUAAUGUCUUCCAUUUAUAGGAAAUACCUCUGUCACUUAUCCUUUGCCGAGAGCAUUCAUUACAUGCUGGUGGAGAGUAGCUACAUAUUAAAUGAGAAUUAAAUGUGAUAUUGCAACAGUUCUCCCAGUGGGUGAAUGAAUUUCAGUUUUUAUAAUUAUUUUGAACUUAUUAGGGAAAAAUGGGAGACAGAAGGUAAUUUUACACUCGAAGGGAAUCCUGCUAGCUUACUCUAGGCAGCACACAAGAGUUUAAAGUUAAUUACCACACAUGAUGGAAUGCAGCUUUAAUGCACACCCAACAGAUCUAUAUCUCCCCAUUAAUGUUGGUUUAAAUGAAUUUCAGAUUGUCUGAAUGCCAACUGUUAUCUUUCUUCAACAGCUAGAUAUAAAAUCUUGCCACACACAGCAUCCCUCUAAUCAGUUUGCUACUCCUCCCGCAGACCUGAAAUGACCCCAAGGAAAAUUAUGAAUAAGAGACUCUCUGACUGAAGUGAUAGUCUAUUAUCUACGUAAUGUAUCUCCUAACAGCCUUCAACACAGAUAACCACAUCUUGUUCAUCUGCCACUCUCCUGCGCAGUGCAGCUCUGAGAAUCUUAACUAGUAUUCUUUCACAAUUAUUACAGACAGUUCCACACCAGCCACAGCUUCCCUUCACAUCCCACCAUGGGGAUUUUCCCAAGUACUUCUCCAUUGGCCCUCUUCUCUUCCUUACCCACAGCAUGCCCUUAGCCAACAUCAUCUACUGAAACGGCCUUGUUCCUGUAUACUUCCUGAAGACACUCAGCAUUAUCUCUCUUUCAGUUUUCUUGGCAUUCCCUCUCCAUUUGUGAUGCUAAUCAUCCAACCAGCCACGAUUUACAGAAGUUACAGUAAUUAGAUUAGAUGAACUGAUCCUUUGCACCGAACCUGUCUUUGACUUUGUCUGAAGAAGACAGCUUGAAAUCUUGUUUCUGUUCAUUUUCUACCGAGCCAAAUUCCUAACCCCAUAUCAUCUGCGUCCUAUAAACAUCCUAUUUCUGACUUUACACUCUAUAAUGAAACCCAAUUCUGAAUGCUUGAGCCCAAAUCCCAUCCUCCACGAGAUCACGGUCAACCAAAAUCUCAGUCUUUACCAACUUACAUUGGUUCCUAGAUCCAAAGGACCUCAGGUAAAAUGCACAUUAUUGCAUUUAAAUUCCUUUAUGACUAGAAAGUUAUUUGUUCUACAGCUUUCUCUGGAUGUCAAAAUCCGACCCAUCCAGUCUUUCCAACGCUCUACAUUUGACAUAUCUGAUUAUCUCCUUCUGUUAUAGAAAGUUUUCAAGUUUUUUUAAAGCAUUUCCACACAAUACAAAGAGUAUUUUCCUUGAUUAAAACGGAAAUUACACACAGAGCUGCAUUGUCUUCUGCAGCUAAUUUGGCACCCCAGACUUAGUGCAAGGUAAACAUAUUUUAAGAUUAAAAGAUCUCAAUCCAUUCAAGAUGCAAAUAGACUUUUGGGAAACAAGAAUUUACAACUUCUGGAAGAGAGAAAACUGAAAAAAAAAUCAGUCCGCAAAUCCACUUUCCUCAACAGCACAACAGGAAGGUGAGUAUCAUCAUAAUUUCCAGUAAUAUUGUCCAAGAAAAAUACUUCAGAAUUUAGGUAAGUUGUUAAUUUUAACUUUUCAUUGGAUUAAAGUUACCAGUUCCCAAGCUGAACUAUUAUUUCACCUUUUAAUUUCUACUGUACUGCAUUAUAUUUACUUUUUGAUAAAUUGGAGAAUGUAAUUGCCAAUAUUUUCUUGAUUACUAGAAAAGUUAGCUAAGUUUCAUAACUAGUACAGGUAUAAUCUCUGUCUGGCCAUUCAACAGUGUUGCAAAACAUUAUCUGGGCCAUUCCUACCCCAUAUCUUUGCUAUGUUGCAAUAAAAUUUUGUGAGUGAGUUCAAUAUUAUAUUUUAGAUCAUAUGAUUGUAAAUGUUAAAGCUUACAAUUGGAUUCACAUUAGUGAUUUAGCAAGCAGGAUACGAUAUUAAAAAUAAUUAUAGUUUAAGGAAGACUAAACAAAUUACAGAAUGAUAAAAGAGAGCAAGCUGUAAAAAUAGGACACUUUAGAAGUCUGCUGUUUAUUUGUGUGGUCUGCAUGUGUUACACAGUACACCAGUUGUAAGAUCAGAGCUAUAACUGUAAUUUGGAAUUUUAACUCAUUAUUUGAUGCUUGUUCAAACAGCAUCAAAUGUUAGGAAGCUAGGUUUGAGCUGCUUCCUUCUUGAAUUCUGAAGGUGUCAACUUUUAAGACUUCUGAUCAAGUUAUGCCUUCUACUGAGUUUCAUGCUUGGAAUCCUCCCUGAUAGUCUCACUCUUCUCAGAGACCAUUUGGAGUAAUGCAAACAAAUGAAUUAGGAGCCAUUUGACUGUUUGAGUAGACUACACCACUUAGUACGAUCACCACUGAUCUAAUAGUAAACUCAACUUCACAAUCUCAUUUCCAAUGCCUUUGAGUGGAAAAUCCUACAAAAGGGAGUGGAUUUGGCCCAAUACAUCAUGAAUAAAGCCCACCCAACUAUUGAGCACAUCUACAUGAAACAGUGCCAUAGAAGAGCAGCAACCAUUGUCCGUCACCACCCAGGCCUUCCUCUUUUCUCGCUGCUGCCAUUAGGUAGAAGUUACAAGUGCCUCAGGACUUGCACUACCAGUUUCAAGAACAGUUAUUACCCCUCACUUCUGGUGUUCCCACAGCCAAUGAUCUCACUUUAAGGACUCUUUAUCUUGUUAUCUGAUGUUCUCAUUAUUUAUUGCUAUUUAUUCAUAUUUGUAUUUGCACAGUUUGUUGUUCAUUGAUCCUGUUUGCUGUUGCUAUUCUAUAGAGGUGCUGAGUAUGCCUGCGGGAAAAAGACUCUCAGCGUUGUAUGUGGUAACAUCUGCAUCAAUAUGUUGGGAUCAGGUUGGGUCCUCAGAGAUCUUGACACCGAGGAACUUGAAACUGCUCACUCUCUCCAUUUCUGAUCCCUCGAUGAGAAUUGCAAAGAUUGUGCUGAACAACACCCAUGUAUCACCACACUUCUGGACCGACAUGGAUGUUCUUACAACUUCAGUCUUUGGUUUCUACUGGUCAUUUGGGAAAGCCAAGAAACUCUGAGGUCAUCACAGGACCGGGAGAUGUUGUGCUGGCACUCGGAAACUCCUGCUGGAAAAUUCCUUCAACACCACACGUUCAAAGAAUAUAACAAAAGUAAUGAGCUGCCAUAUGCUGCCAUAUAAAGGACCAGAUCAGGCAAGCCUUGUUACACUCUCUGCUGUCCUCAAGCAGACCCUGCUUUGUGCAGUUGCAUCCUGGACUUCCUGCCAGAUCACCAGCAGGUUGUAAGAGUGGGCUCCCUCACCACCAACCCUCUGAUUCUCAAUACAGGAGCCCCUCAGGGCUGCGUACUAAGUCCCCUCCUUUACUCCCUAUAUACCCAUGACUGUAUCACCACCCGCAGUUCCAAUCUGCUAAUUAAGUUUGCUAACAACAUUACAUUGAUUGGCCUUAUCUCAAACAAUAAUGAGGUGACCUACAGGGAAGAAGUCAUCUCUCUGACACAGUGGUGUAAGAAAACCAUCUCUCCCUCAAUGUCGCAAAAACAAAGGAGCUGGUUAUGGAUUACAGGAGGAUUGGAGAUGGGUUAGCCCCUAUUGACAUCAAUUGAUCUGGAGCUGAGAGGAGAAACAGCUUCAAGUUCGUUGGCAUCCACAUAACCGAGGGCCUCACGUGGUCUGUACACACCAGCUGUGUGGUGAAAAAGGCACAACAGCGCCUCUUUCACCUCAGACAGUUGAGGAAGUUUGCUAUGGGUCCCCCAAUCCUAAGAACUUUCUACAGGGACACAGUUGAGAGCAUCCUGACUGGCUGCAUCACUGCUUGGAAUGGGAACUGUACUUCCCUUAAUCACAGGAUUCUGUAGAGAGUGGUGCGGACAGCCCAACGCAUCUGUAGUUGUGAACUUGCCAUGAUUCAGGACAUUUACAAGGACAGGUGUGUAAAAGGGGCCCGUAGGAUCAUUGGGGAUCUGAGUCAUCCCAAACACAAUCUAUUCCAGCUACCACCAUCUGGGAAGUGGUACCGCAGGAUAAAAUCCAGGACCAACAGGUUCCAGGACAACUUCUUCCACUAGGCCAUCAGACUGAUGAACUCACACUGACUUGAGUGUACUCUGUAUUACAUUGACUGUUCUAUUCAUUAUAAAUUACUAUGAUUGCACAUUGCACAUUCAUAUGGACUCGUAACGAUGAUUUUUACUCCUCGUGUAUGUGAAGGAUAUAAGAAAUAAAGUCAAUUCAAUUCAAUAUCCAUACAUUUUCUGCAUGCAGAAGGACAGUCGAGCUGAGCUGCUGCAUCCAACAGUGCAUUGGGACCCCACUCCCAGAAUGCCCCGACUAACAUUCCAAAACAGAUCAAGUAGAUACAAAUAGCUUAAAAAAUGUUUAAAAGUAAAAUAUAAAUUCACUGUUGAAUCACUAAUCAUUGGCAGCACUUCCUGGGAUAAAAUAAAUGGCUAGAUGUGCUCACAUUCCCUUGUUGGCACAGUGAUAUUCUGCUGCUCGGCGGAACAGAAAAACAGAGAAGACAGUCUAUAUGCUCCCAGCUGAUCUCCAAAAUGUCUCACGCUUUUGCCUAUCACUCUCAAGUGCAUUAGCCUGAGAAUUACUGAGAUGCAAAUGAGUAGUGCUAAUCAGUCAGCAUAUGAAGGCCUUGGUUUUCAGUGGACUAAAGUAAAAAAUUCAGUGGAAUCACAAGUACAUGGAAAAAUACAGUGAAAUGUGUCAUUUGCGUUAACAACCAACACAAUCAAAGGAUGUGAGGGGGCUGCCCGCAAGAGUCACCGCACAUUCCAGUGCCAGUAUAGUAUGCCCCCAAUGUUUAGCAGAACAACACAAGCAACAGCAACAGAACAGAAACACCCAUGCACAUACCUACUCACACACACACAGAGUCCAGGACAGACUGCCUUUGGGCCUCAUUGGACUCACAAGUUCCCUUACAUAGGGGCUUUGACUUCACAAAUGGACUCAUUGACUCACAGAACCAGGACGUUGGUCAAGAGGCCUCAGUUUCCAGGCUUCCAAUCGACCUUUGCAUUUCUAUCCUCGGUAUCAAUGCAGGACUGCCAGUGACCUUGAACUCCCAGCCUCGAACUCCAGACUCGCUGAUUCAGAACCACGUACUGCAGGCCGCGAACUCUGGACUCACUGACUUGUGUAUCCAGGGGGUCACCAGCCCUUAUUCCUCUUGCCCACAAGGACCUUUAAUCCAGGACCUGCCGACCUGGGCGGGGGCACCAACUUUUGUCCUUGCUGGUCUUUAUCCACUUCCUAGCCUGACAUCCAGCCAUGGAUGUCCUGCACCACAUAUCCACGUCACUAGCCUUCAAAAGUGGAGUGUGGACCUGUGGCCUAACAUUGGCCUGACCUCACAUCCGUGUCCAUGAACCCUAACCUGACCCUCUAGCUCCCCUCUUUGACCCAAGAACUAUCACUAUGAAGAUAAAACAGAAUCUAAUUCGGAGCCAUGACCUUGGCAGAGAUUGAAGUUACAAGCAGCUUCAUUGUAAUGACCUAGUAAACAUCACCUCCACUCUAGAAUACGAGAUGCUGGGCUGAAUGAUCUACAAAGAAAAGAGCAGCAUGAUUUUAAGUUUAAUGCAUUCAGGUUCUGAACACAAAUGCAAGCAAGUAAUAAAGAAUUUGCAUACAAUUUUAUUCCAGUGGCAGAUGGUAGUACCAUGUGUAAUUUUGGACCUCCAACUACUGAUGGUGUACUAUUGCACAGAGUAGGUGCAGUGUUGGAAAGAAAAGUAAAUUAUUGGCAUGACUGGGAAAUUCAGACUGACGGAGUGAGGGGAGAAAUCAAAGUGCAAGAUACUGUAGAGUUUGAAAUUUGAAAUACAAACAAAAAUUUCUGGGAGUACUUGACAGUUCUGACAGCACUUGUGGAGCAAGAAGCACAGGUAACAUUUCAGGCGAAUGAACUUCCAUCAGAACUGGAAACAAUGCGAAGUAAAGCAAAUUUUACACGAAGCACUGGGGUGGGAUGUGUUGUGCAGGGGAGUGGUAAGAAUUGAAGGAAAGAUCUGUGAUAGGAUGGAGAGCGGGGAAUCUGAAUAACAGAAGCACUGGUGCCAGGUGAAAGAGGGUUGUUAAGGUAUGAUUAAAAAAAAACAUGUUAAAAGGAAUAGGCGAAAGAAAUCUAAAUGUGGGAAGAGGAGGGGAGAGAGGAAAAGAAAUUGCAUCUGUGAAAUAAGAUUUGAAUGCUGAUUGAGUUCAACAGUGUUAAAUAAUGAGUUAAUGAUCAAGAUGUGACUCAGAGUCCUGCAAGGAUUUGUCAGAUGUGUGAUUUCAAGUUUGCUGUUGGAAUCAGUGACAUGGUAAGCAAUAUUAAGGAAGAACCUCUAGUCACUGGCAGACAACCAGAAAAGGCUCACUUUAUUCCCAGUCUUUGCCUCCUGCCAGUCAUCCAAUCUGCUAAUAUCUUCCCUGUAAUACCAUGGACUCAAAUCUUCUUAAGUGGCCUCAUGUGCGGCACCUUGUCAAAGUCCUUCUGAAAAUCCAAAUAAAUAAUAUCCACUGACUUUUCUUUGUUGAUCAUGGUUACUUCCUCAAAGAAUUCCAACAAAUUUGUUAGGAAAGAUUUCCCCUUAAGGAAACGAUGAUGACUUUAGUCUAUUUUAUCAUAUGCCUCCAAGUAUCCCAAAAUACCAUCUUUAAUAAUGGACUUCAACAUCUUCCCAACCACUGAAGUCAGCUUAACUAGCCUGUAAUUUCCUCUCUUCAGCCUCCCUCCCUUCUUAAAGAGUGAAGUGAGAUCUGCAGUUUCCAAUUCUCUGAAAUCAUUCCAGGAUUGAAUGAUUCUUGUAAGAUCAUUAUUAAUACUUCUACAACCUCUUCAGUUACCUCUUACAGAACCCUGGGGUGUAGCCCAUCUGGUCCAGGUGACUUAGGAAUUUGCAGCUUUCCAGGCACUUUCUCCAUACACUCACUUCUGCCCACUGAUCCUCUUGAAAUUCUGGCAUACUGCUAGUGUCUUACAUUGAUGCAAAAUACUUAUUAAGUUCAUCCGCCAUUUCUUUGUUCCUAUUGCUACCCUCCAGUGUCAUUUUGCAGCAGUCAAAUUCUCAUCAUGCUUUAUAUAUCUGAAACACCUUUUGGUAUCCUUUUUUAUAUUAUUGGCCAGCUUACCUUCACAUUUCAUAUUUUCUCUCCCAUUAUGAUCACUGCCUCCUGAAGUUUCCUUUAUCUCAAACUCCCUAAUCAAAUCAGGCUCGUUACACAACACUCAAUCCAGAAAUUCCUUUCCCCUAGUUUGCUCAACUACAAGCUGCUCUAAAAGCCCAUCCUGUAAGCAUUCUACAAAUUCCCUCUCCUGGGACUCAACACCAACCUAUCUUUCCCAAUCUAUCUGCAUAUUGAAAUCCGUCAUAUAUAUAAAACUCCCAUCAUGGUUGUUUUACCCUUGCAGUUUCUUAACCCUGCCCACAAGGAUCUACAUCUACUGACGCUAUGUUACCUUUUUCUAAGGAUUUGAUUUCAUUUUUUACCAGAGCCACUCACCCCCUCUGCCUCUCUGCCCGUCCUUUCAAUACAAUGUAUAUCCUUGGAUGUUAAGCUCUCAACUAUGAUCUUCUUUUGGCCAUGACUCAGUGAUGCCCACAAUGUAAUUCCUGCCAGUUUCUAACUGUGCUGCAUCAUCAUCUACCUUAUUCUGUAUACUGUGUGCAAUCAAAUAUAAUACCUUCAGUCCUACAUUUGUCAUCCUUUUGAUUUAUUACCUGCGUUCCAAUUCAACACAUCCCACUGACUGCAAUUUUGCCCUGUCAUCUGCCUAUCCUUCCUCACAGUUCACUACAUACUGCAUCUGCUGGUAUACCAACUGCCCCUUCCUCAGCCCGAUCAUUCUGGUUCCCAUAUCCUUGCCAAGUUAAUUUAAACUCACCAACCUGCCCACAAGGAUAUUGGUCUCCCUUGGAUUCAGGGUAACCCAUCCUCUUUUUACAAGUCGUACCAUCCCCAGAAGAGAUCCCAACAAUCUAGAAAUCUGAAACCAAUUCCUCAGCCAUUCAUCACCCUAUUUCUGUCCUGACUAGCAUGUGGUACAGGGUAUAAUUCAGAGAUUAAAACCUUGGAGGUCCUGCUCUUCAGACUAACUCCCAUUUUUCACUGUGUAGGACACUUUUUCCCCUUUCUACCUUCAUCAUUGGUGCCAUUGACCUCUGGCUGCUAACCCUCCUUCUUGAGAAUAUUCUGCAGCCGGUCUGAAACAUCGUUGACCCCAGCACCUGGGAGGCAACACAUCAUCCUGGCAUCUUUUUUGUAGCCAAAGAAUCUCCUGUACCUCUGACUAACGAGUCUCCAAUCACUAUUGAUCCAGCUGACUUUACCCUUCCUUGCUGUGUUUUAGGGUCUGCCACAGUGCCACUGUCUGGAUGCAGCUGCUAUGCCCCGAUGUUAUAGAUAAUUUAUCAGUUAAAAUCAUUUAAAGAUAUUAAUGUAUUAAAAUAUAAAUGGCUAAAUUUCUGCCAAGAACAUGGGAUUGAAUUAUACUGUGAAAACUCAAGUAGGUGGAUGAUUAAGUGCAGAACAUACUGCUCUUUCUCUGGUCUGUAAAACACAAGUGGGGAGACAACGGUGGGUAUAACAAAACAGUAUACUUCAAUUAUAAAAGACUAUCUAUUGUGGCAUUAAAGCAAAAAAAAUGCUUCAGGUUAACAAAUGUCACUUUGCCACUUCCCAAUUUUACUUCAUUUUUCCUCUAGUUAAUUUUGCAUUAUGUCCUUUCCCACUCGUAAGAUUAGAAGGCAGUUAUUCCCAGGCCCCUAAAUGUUUGUGUAAAUCUAAAAUAAUCUUCAGUAAACCAAGUUAAUUAUAUCUUGCUUUAAUAUUCUUAUAUCAGGAACAUCUCUUUAAACAGUUUAAACCUACAUCAUAAAGAACCACGUUUUCUUACUUUUUUCUGCAGUGGGGUAAUUAGAAAAAAUAUUGACUUGUGAGCAACUUCAACUAAAUAACAUUUUAAAAUAAUUAGUUUUGAAUUAUUUGGUUAAACAGGAAAUCAUCUUUAGAAACGACCAGAAGUUAUAAUCAUUAAGCAUAGCAAUGCUGCAAAAGCUGAUACUUGUAAUAACAACUGCAUCCGUUCUGUAGAACAUGGUAUCUGCUUUACUCACAGAUGCGCUCCAUGGGAAUAUUGCAAAGUACAAUUCAAAAAGAGAGGUUCAGUAUUUAUGCUAACCUACAACACUAUAUUUUAUUUUUGUAGGUAAUAAAGUACAUUUAUAUUUAUAUUUACAUGAUUUAUAUUCUUAAUUUACAACUUAAGCUGCUUCAAGUAAAGGAGCUGCUUCUUGUUUGUUACAUCUACUCAUGUUAUCUGCAGUAACCUCAAACAAAUCAGCUAGUAAUUUAAAAGAUGUUUGACCUCUACUACAGAAUGGGAUGUGAAGAACAUCCACAUCAAUUAGAAAAGGCUAGUUACUUUUGCAAGAAUUUAAUGAAGCAUUUCUAAAUUAAAUUGGUCUGUGCAUUUCUAUGCAUUAUGGAUAUGGCAAUUGGAAUUACUUAAUGGAAAAUAAUGCCUUUCCCACUCUGAAUACUGUGAGGCAUUUUCCUCCCACAUAAACUGAACUUGCUCAUUGAAGAGCUGCCUUUGACCUACAAACAUAAGAGAAGGGUGAACUAUUAAGAACGCUGCCCUCUUGUGAACUUUCACAUCAUUACUUUCUCAUUUCAUUUCUGUGAAUUUCAACUCCUGAUGCAAUUGUAAAAAAUAACACAGUAUAAUUCAUUUUGUAACAGACUAUUUACCUUAGUAAAUAAAUAGUGUGUGUGUGUGUGUGUGUGUGUGUAAGAUCAGUAUUUAGUCAGACAAUUGAUAAGUAAAGUUAUCACUUGUUUUAAUUUUAGAGAUAUAUAGAUUGAUACUUUAUUGAUCCCAAAAGGAAAUUAUAGUCACAGUAGCAUUACAAGUGCACAGAUAUACUAAUAUUAGAAGAGAAGUCGGGAGAAUAAAUUAGUAUAUUUUUUAUAGAAUUUCAUGGAACAAGUUUUGCUUCUUCCCAUACGAAAGUCCCAAUUCUAAGGUUUAACUUUUACCUGGCCUAACACUUGCUUAAAGAAAACAGAGUGUGAUCAGAUGGAGACUAAUUUCUUCCAAAGCUAUGCUGACUGCUUUUUGCUGGGUGCUUCUCGAAAUUCUCAACGCUUCUAAUACUUUGUACAGAAACAACGACUGAUAGUCUGUGUGGCCUGUUAGGAUCAUAUGAACGCAAUUUACAGGUUACUAAGUUCCACUAAUAAUAACUAUCAUGCCUUGCUGGAUGUCCAUGGAAAAUUUAUCAUCUAAUAAACAUAAAGAAACAUAAAAGUUUACAAAGCAGCUGUUGUAUGCCUCCGGAUAUCCUCUCUAUGAAAACAUACAAGAGGUACUCUAUGCUAGGAGUGAAUUAAUAAAUACAUACAGAAACUGCUUAAUUCUUUGUAGUUUCUGAUACAGAAUAAAAGCCAUAGGUUUCCACUUACAGAUGGAUUUUGAGGAUUAAUCUCUUUAACAUAUUUUAAUGUGCUAUAGAUUUGUUGUCUCUGCUGUGGUUUGUAUAAAUUUCUUUUAUUUCAUUUUUUCCCUGAUCAAACAUUUAAAUAUUAUAUUUUCCUAAGACAGAUGAAUAUGGGUGCUUCAACUUAUUCAAAAUGUUUGAUUCCAUUAUAUAAUAUUCCUACCUACAGUGGAAACAAAGGCUUAGAAAUUGUGGAGUGCCAUUACAUGCUUUGUAAUUGCAAUGAAGAUAGACAAUAAACAUUUGAAUUGUGAGUCCACCAAAGAAAACCUCAGUAUCAUACACUACACAUCGAUGGACCGUGAAGCAGAUGCAUGGAUUGGGUCUGAGUCUGAGUCAAGUGGGGUGAGGAGAGGAGGGGUAGAAUGGAAUCAGUUGUUGGCUCUAUUGCACCCUGGGAUAGGGCUUUGGUUUGGCUAUCAGAAAAUAAUUGUCGUCUUGAUGGUGGGAAGAGAUCAAGACUCCAAUGGGAAAUUGAAGAGUUAGCACUUCAGUGAUGGAUCUCAGCAGGGAAUGGGUGUGAACAUUAUGAAAAAGGAACAGAACUUACAUUAAUGAAUCUUGUCUGGUGAAAUACAAUGAAAACAUAUUGGUUGUAGGAUUUACAAUUCAUGCCAGAAUGCAUCCGGUUGACUGUCUGGAGACAGACAAUAAUUCUGCACUUCACAUUGUUUUUUCAAUUAAGUAGCAAUUAAAUAUAGAAUUUUGCUAAGAGUGUCUGUAUUGUGUAUCUACUUGAUUAGCAAUAGAAGAUAUGACUCUGACGCUUUCUCCUAUUUAUUAUUAUUCAAUCAGAUUGUUCUGAAUGUGUUGAUCAAGGAAUGUAUUACUGAUUUCUGAAAAUUAAAAAUAAGCUUUGUAAAAAACCUGCAAAGCUUUUCCUUCCUGUGUUACCAUCCACCCAUCCCAUCACUUUAUUACACUGGCAAAAACAUGAUGCUUUAAAACUAUGGCAAAUAUGCAGCAUUUAAAAUAUAUUAUUGUUCCUACACCAUAUUCACAGGAUUUUAUAAAUAAGAUUUAUAAUGAGAGUCUCAAGAUUUUACUUAAAGAUUCUGUGGCACAAUUGAAAACAGCAUCUCAUCACUUUAGUACGGCAGACAUUUUUACUUUAAGUAACAUUACCUAAAUGAGACCAACAGAUCAAACACUUUUGCCAAGAGAUGUGUGAACCUUCGAUAGAAACAAUACCAUGCACCAUGCACUUAAGAGUCUGGUGUUACCGCAGACCUUCUUAGGAUUCAUACAGUCAUGAGCAUUGUAUUGCCCUUACAAUGUGUUUUGGCUCAACCCUCACCAAUGACAUUUCUGAUACUUCUACAAAUAUGUUGCACUAAGUGAGGAUAAUACUUACAAGUCUGAUACUCUGCUCAUAAUUGUAAGUUAGCUAAUGAAAGACCAUAAGCGUAAUACAAUCACCUUCUGUUCUAGGAAGUUAAAUGGAUUGUACUUCGGGAAAAUAAGUCAGUAAACUAUUCUACCCUGACCUUUAGAUAGACAAAUACCCUUACAUUUGGUUUCUUUCCAUUUAAGAAAUUUCACCUGACAUACUUUGUUUCCAGUUGGGUUACAAACUUCAAAACAGCCUGUGGUAAACCAUGUAUACCUGUCUGGACAUGUCCCUCUGCUGACUGCUCUUGUGGCUCCUAGAGUUAUUGAUAGCGCAUCACAGCAUCACAGCUUGUAAACCAGUACCUUUGACAAGGAAAUACACCACCCCUUUACCCUCACUGUUCUCAGCAGGGUGUAAAAAUAAUGUUUAAAGAAAAUGAGAAAUAGGAGCAAAAGUUAAUCACGUGACUUCUUGAACCUCUGUGCCUUUCAGAUGGUGCAUGAUCUACUUUCAAUUAUAUAUAUAAUUUUGGGGGCGGAGGGGAAUAAGCUCUGCAAUUUUUCUCCCUAUAUUCCCUUCCACAUUGGUUACUUCUAAAAUUCCUUUCUCUUUGAAUGAUGAGCUUUUGAUUAUACGAAUUAUGUCCUAUUUAUGUAGAGCUCUAAGAUUAUCAUGUACUAAUGUUGUUUUUCCUUGC